GAUGAACGCUGGCGGCGUGCCUAACACAUGCAAGUCGAGCGAACAGACGAGGAGCUCGUGCCCUUGACGUUAGCGGCGGACGGGCGAGUAAGGCGUGCAUAACCUACUAAUAAUUCGGGGAUAACUACGGGAAACAGGAGCCAAUACUGGAUAAUACAUCGUACCGCAUGGAUCAAUAGUGAAAGACGGCUUUGCUGACACUAAUAGAUGGAUCCGCGUCGCAUUAGCUAGUUGGUAAGGUAACGGCCUACCAAGGCAACGAUGCGUAGCCGACCUGAGAGGGUGAUCGGCCACACUGGAACUGAGACACGGUCCAGACUCCUACGGGAGGCAGCAGUAGGGAAUCUUCCGCAAUGGGCGAAAGCCUGACGGAGCCACGCCGCGUGGGUGAUGAAGGUCUUCGGAUCGUAAAGCUCUGUUAUUGGGGAAGAACAGAUGUGGAAUUAACUAUGCACGUCUUGACGGUACCUAAUCAGAAAGCCACGGCUAACUACGUG
rnacentral:rRNA from 1 species